rnacentral:rRNA from 1 species
GAUGAACGCUGGCGGUCUGCUUAACACAUGCAAGUCGAACGGAAUCUUUCGGGAUUUAGUGGCGGACGGGUGAGUAACGCGUGAGAAUCUGCCUUCAGGUUCGGGACAACAGUUGGAAACGGCUGCUAAUACCGGAUGUGCCGAGAGGUGAAAGCUUAAGUGCCUGGAGAUGAGCUCGCGUCUGAUUAGCUAGUAGGAGUGGUAACGGCACCCCUAGGCGACGAUCAGUAGCUGGUCUGAGAGGAUGAUCAGCCACACUGGGACUGAGACACGGCCCAGACUCCUACGGGAGGCAGCAGUGGGGAAUUUUCCGCAAUGGGCGCAAGCCUGACGGAGCAAGACCGCGUGAGGGAAGAAGGUCUGUGGAUUGUAAACCUCUUUUGAUAGGGAAGAAGACAGUGACGGUACCUAUCGAAUCAGCCUCGGCUAACUCCGUGCCAGCAGCCGCGGUAAUACGGAGGAGGCAAGCGUUAUCCGGAAUUAUUGGGCGUAAAGAGUCCGUAGGUGGGUAACCAAGUCAGCUGUUAAAUAGUGAAGCUUAACUUCAUAGAGGCGGCUGAAACUGGUUGUCUAGAGUGUGGUAGGGGUAGAGGGAAUUUCCAGUGUAGCGGUGAAAUGCGUAGAUAUUGGAAAGAACACCGGUGGCGAAAGCGCUCUACUGGGCCUGCACUGACACUGAGGGACGAAAGCUAGGGGAGCGAAAGGGAUUAGAUACCCCUGUAGUCCUAGCCGUAAACGAUGGAUACUAGGCGUUGCCCG